rnacentral:misc_RNA from 1 species
UUGCUCUAUAGUCUCUAUUAUUUAGUGUUACCUGGGACCUAGUUCGUUUCAAAUUUAAUAAUUAUUGUUAUUAUUCGUCCUUAUAAGUGAUCACCCGAAGUGAUUGAAGACUUUUAACAUUGUUUCAGUAUUUUACGUGAUCGCACUUUUCGAACGUAUCGAAAUGGCAGGUGCUACGAUGUUGGCGCGCAUCAACAAGCCGUCCGAUUUUGCCAUGAAGAAAGUCGAAACAGAACAUGACAGAAUUAUGGCACGCGAACAAAUGAUCCUCACGCAGGGUGAACUCUUAAAAAAAGAAGGUAAGGCCAAAGAACUGGCCGCCCUAAUCAAAGAGACCAGACCGUUUUUGUCCGAAAUAAGUAAGGCGAAGGCGGCUAAAUUAGUGCGGUCNCUGGUUGACCUCUUCCUGGACCUCGAAGCAGGCAUAGGGAUUGAAUUGCAACUGUGCAAGGAGUGUAUAGAAUGGGCUAAGGAAGAGCGACGAACAUUUUUAAGGCAAUCUCUGGAGUCUCGUUUAAUGGCCCUUUACUUCGAUUCCGGCAUGUUUAAAGAAGCGUUACAACACGGCGCAGUACUAUUAAAAGAACUGAAAAAAUUGGAUGAUAAAAAUUUGUUGGUUGACGUUUUAUUAUUGGAAAGCAAGGCCUACCAUGCUCUGAAUAACUUGUCUAAGGCAAGGGCCUCUCUAACUUCUGCUAGAACCACGGCAAACUCGAUUUAUUGUCCACCUAAAAUGCAAUCUUCUCUUGACUUGCAAUCAGGAAUCUUACAUGCAGCUGACGAGCAAGACUUUAAAACUGCUUAUUCUUAUUUCUAUGAAGCUUUUGAAGGGUUCGACAGUGUGGACAGUACAUCUAAUGCACUUAAGGCAUUGAAGUACAUGCUUUUGUCAAAGAUAAUGUUAAAUAAUGCAGAAGAUGUGCAACAAAUCGUGAGCGGUAAAUUAGCAUUAAAAUAUACAGGUCGUGAUGUAGAAGCAAUGAAAAGCAUUGCAAGGGCUAGUCACAAAAGAUCUUUAGCAGAUUUUCAAAUUGCGUUGAAUGAAUAUAAAAAAGAAUUGGAAGAAGAUCUAAUUGUCAGAGCACAUUUAGAUACACUUUAUGGAAAUAUGUUGGAACAAAAUCUGUGUAGAAUCAUUGAACCAUACUCGAGGGUACAAGUUGAGUAUGUUGCCAAAUCAAUAAAUUUACCAAUGGAAAAUGUUGAACGAAAACUUUCACAGAUGAUAUUGGAUAAAAAAUUCCAUGGUAUCUUAGACCAGGGUGAAGGCAUUCUUAUAGUAUUUGAAGAAGCUGAAAUCGAUGAAACUUAUGAAUUAGUUUUAGAUAAUAUAAAUAGCAUGAGCAAAGUUGUUGAUACAUUGUAUCAGACUGCUAAAAAAUUAACAUGAAAAAUAAACUAACAAAUUAUAUCCGAAAUUUAAAAAGUUAAAAAUUCUUUGUAUUUGGAGUACAUNAUAUUUCUUCUGAUUACUGGAUUUUAGGAAUAAUUAGACGGAGUAAUUAGUCAUACAAAUUUAUGUAAGGGGUUUAUUUUUUCAACUUGUAUUUUAUAAAUUUAUAAUCAACA